AAACAAAACACAUGCAAGACAGGCUAUAAGAGACUUUAUAAUAUACACCAAACUAUGCAAAAACCAUUUCAGAGAGCUCAUCCUAACACACACUCGCACUCCUUCACCAUUCAUAUAAACGAACCAUUUAAUCAUCAUCGUUACUUGGACCAUCAUCAUAAUCACAAUACCUUCAUAGGUUUAUCUUCAUCAAUGAAGCUCUUCUCCAAAUUCCGCAAAAUUUUCAUGAAGAUCAUCUUCGCGCUUCCUUCUUCCUCCUCCGCAACCGUACGUCCUCACAAAACCGCUGACUUCGGCAAUGGUUGUGAUAGGCUAGAGACGCCGAAGAUAUCGUGCAGUAAUUCAUACUACUCCUCACAAUCUCACUACAGUGAAGCUAUCUCAGAUUGUAUAGACUUUUUCAAUAAGUCUCAACAAGAAAGUGAAGACCGGAUUGCUCAUGAUCACGACCGUUUUUACGUUUAGUCAAACUUCAAAGAAAAAUAAUGAUCUCAUGUCUUUUCUUCUUCUAGAUAACUCAAAAUUUUCUUCUCUUAAGCUCAAACUCUUAUUAAUCUGUAUUCACAGUCUCUGCAUGUUUCCCUGAAAGUAAAUCUCGAGUUCAAAUAACCAAAAUGGACCUCACAAUUGUUGUCUUCCAUGAAUGUUAGAGAACAUCGAGACUUAUAUUUGUUGAUCCGUUUCCAACCAAUUUUAAAGGAAGCAGGUUGUGUUUAGUUCUUUCC